UAGGGAAUAUUGCACAAUGGGCGCAAGCUUGAUGCAGCAACGCCGCGUGCGCGAUGAAGGCCUUCGGGUCGUAAAGCGCUUUUCGGGGAGAUGAGGAAGGACAGUAUCCCCGGAAUAAGUCUCGGCUAACUACGUGCCAGCAGCCGCGGUAAAACGUAGGAGGCAAGCGUUAUCCGAAUUUACUGGGCGUAAAGCGUGUGCAGGCGGUUCGGUAAGUUGGGUGUGAAAUCUCCUGGCUCAACUGGGAGAGGUCGCUCAAGACUGUCGGACUGGAGGGCAGGAGAGGGAGGUGGAAUUCCCGGUGUAGUGGUGAAAUGCGUAGAUAUCGGGAGGAACACCAGUGGCGAAAGCGGCCUCCUGGACUGUACCUGACGCUGAGACACGAAAGCUAGGGGAGCGAACGGG
rnacentral:rRNA from 1 species